rnacentral:rRNA from 1 species
GAUGAACGCUGGCGGCGUGCUUAACACAUGCAAGUCGAGCGAAGCACUUACCAUUGACUCUUCGGAAGAUUUGGUAAAUGACUGAGCGGCGGACGGGUGAGUAACGCGUGGGUAACCUGCCUCAUACAGGGGAAUAACAGUUAGAAAUGGCUGCUAAUGCCGCAUAAGCGCACAGUACCGCAUGGUACGGUGUGAAAAACCGAGGUGGUAUGAGAUGGACCCGCGUCUGAUUAGGUAGUUGGUGGGGUAACGGCCUACCAAGCCGACGAUCAGUAGCCGGCCUGAGAGGGUGAACGGCCACAUUGGGACUGAGACACGGCCCAGACUCCUACGGGAGGCAGCAGUGGGGAAUAUUGCACAAUGGGGGAAACCCUGAUGCAGCGACGCCGCGUGAAGGAAGAAGUAUCUCGG